UACGUAGGGUGCAAGCGUUGUCCGGAUUUAUUGGGCGUAAAGAGCUCGUAGGCGGUUUGGUAAGUCAGGUGUUAAAUCCCCAGGCUCAACCUGGGGCUGCCAUCUGAUACUGCCAUGACUUGAGUCCGGUAGGGGACCACGGAAUUCCAGGUGUAGCGGUGAAAUGCGCAGAUAUCUGGAGGAACACCAGUAGCGAAGGCGGUGGUCUGGGCCGGCACUGACGCUGAGGAGCGAAAGCGUGGGGAGCGAACAG
rnacentral:rRNA from 1 species